AAGCCAUGAUGGGGACACUUGCUGAGGAGAUCCUCGAAUCUCUCAUGUGCCUCAAAGAGUGUCUCUUGAGUCCCUUGUCGGGAAUCGCAAAUCUCUUGUCUCAAUCU